GGAAGCGCAUCGUCACCGGUGUGGCGCCCAGACUUCAAAUCUGGUGGAACGUCGAAAGGCGUUCGGUAGGUUCGACUCCUAUGCGCUUCC
rnacentral:tRNA from 1 species